UUUCAUCAUUUCCUUUCAAUAUAAUUUAGAAAAAUUUCAAAAAGUCGCAAUUUUUUUUAUUGUUUAGCCUUUGUUAAAACACUUUUCCUUGUUAAAACACUUUUCCUUCCAUGUCUAAGUGCAGUCAGUGGAAACUGUUGUCAGUUUUCUGUCCAGUAUUUCAAAAAUCAUUUUAAAAAGAAGCAGUAUAUUAGCUCUGGGUCUUAUGAAUAAAAUGAUAAUUUUAAAGCAUAAAACUAUGUAUUUUUUAAAUGUACAAAUAAUUAAAAUCUGUUAUCUAAUGUACUCUUAGGUUAAUUUCUAUUGAGUUUCUAUUUUUUUACAUUUUUCAAGUUUCCAAAUUUUGUGUAUCCAGUAGUUCACCUUUCAUUACUGUAAUAGAUAAUUUGCUUAUUUGACUUAAAGCAAUGACUUGUGUGCAUGUGAUACCAUACGUGAUACCCAAUCACCAUGUAAUUAUUAUUGCAGAACAACUCUCAUUACAUUAUAUAUUAAUAUAAAUCAUUUCUUGAGUAGUACCAGAGUUCUGGAAGCAGCUGGUGGAAUCAGAAACUGUCUCUGGACUUGAGUUUUUUCCCCUGUAGGUUAAAUUUUAGGUUUUCCAGUUAGUUGCCAAGGCAGAGAAGUUUAGGGGAUUUACGUGACUAAUGCUAUUGUUUCUAUUUCUGUUUUUUAAAUCAAUAAAAUAAUGUAAAUAUACUUCAUCUGGAAGCCACCAUGCUUACGUGGUUUUGACCCUUUGACAGUUUUUAAUUGUUUGAUUUACAGUUUUAUCUGUUAAGGACAGGAAGCAUAAUGAGCAUUGAUGUUAAAAUAUAACAAACAUAUUAAAUAUGGCAUGUGAAAGUGAUAAUAAUUCAGCAAGAUGAUCCUCACCAGGACCGUAUUUGCAUGUAUCUGACCAAAAUUUUUAUGCAGCAUAUACAGGUGUCUGGUACUUCAAAAACUAAUGUUAAAUAGAAAAUAUAAAAUAUAUCCAAUUAGGUUACUGUUUAAUGGGAAUAAAACUUAUGUCCAUACACAGUUUAUCUGUAGAGAAGUACUUUCAAAUAGCAACAUGAA